AUAAAACCAAUUUUUUGGCCCAAUUAUUUAUUUCAAUUUCAUCCUUCUUAUCUCCCGUCAAUCUGUGAAAUUGAAAACCAAAUUUGAAAUUCCCAAAUCCAUUUAACCCUAAAUCUUUCCCCUGUGCUCUCGGCGGAGGCGGCUGGUCAGGUACACGAGGGCAUAAAUUUGGUGAUCUCCCGAUGGGCCGCUCUUCGAAUGGCCGUCGAGAAUGAGUGGGGCGGUUGUGAUACUGCCGAGAAAUCGCAACAAAUCGCCCCAAGUUAUCUUUCACACCACAUUCAAUCCAAAGGUAUUUUCUUUAUUCGUAUUCGAAUCGAAUAAGCAUGCACUCAAUUGAUGUGUUUUUAUGUCAUAAUCAGUAUGACCUUGAUUGAUUUUAUCCGUUAAAUUUUGGUAUAAAGAUUGUAUCUCUUUCUCUCCCUGUGCGCGUGCAUGCGUGUGGAUGAGAGAGACAUAUUUACAUAAAUUUUGAGGUAUAAUGAAUAAUGUUUUAUUAGUCUGAUUUGAUGCUCAGGAAAAGUAUGCAUUGAUGAUUUAGAGAAUAUGAUUGAUGAAUUCAUGCUCUCUCAACAUCGAGAUAGGGGAUGGUAGCAUUGAGGAGGUAUGUUUUCUUGGUCUUAUUUGUGAACUUCAAUUAUAUCAUAUAAAUACAAAACAUACAAGCAUAGUUACAUGCUGCAUGCAUAUAUCACCGAAAACCGUGAAAUUUGGAUCGAACUCAAGGAAAUGGCAACAGUUGAAAAUCAAUAGUUAAAAUGCAAAAUGAGAAACAGUUAAAUCCACCUGUAAAAGGUAAAAGAGUGAAGUUCUGAUGAGAUUUAAUGUUCUGAUUGGCAAUAUUUAUUGUGAAACCUUGCUCUCGGGCCAAUCAUUUUGCCUGACCAAUAUAAUUGUCAUCUACUCAAGAACAUUUGAAAUUUUGGCAGGUUUAUAAAAGAUUAAUGAUGGAUGAUCUCGUUGAACUAUACUGCUGUGGCUGGACAACAAGCAUGAUCUACAUGAUAUUAGCAUUAGAGGAUAAUAAUAAUUAUUAUUUUUGCCUGCUAGUUAUUUGUUAGAUAUAUUUCAUGUUCAAUAAAUAUCUAUUAGUUGCUAAGGUUUGAAUUUCCAAAUAUCUACUAAUACUUGUCUUUUUUUCUUUUUGUUUAUGUGGAAACUGUAUUCAGAUCAUAGAAAAGUUGAUGGUUAUGCUUGAAGAAUGUGUAGAAGGUAAAUUUAACUCAGUUAAAAGCCUAAAGGAAACAAAUGCUCCAAAUGUAUCUUAUGUCAUACAGGUAACUAUCACUCUCCAGUGACUGAACUAGUGUUCACUAUUUGGAUAAAUAUUUUUGCCAUUGAUGAAUCAAGUUUGUUGUUUAUUAAAUGACAACCUUGGAAUGUUUUCUAAGAAGAAAUGAUAAAUUUAUGAGUAUAUUUUCAAAUUUUGAUAUAAAUAUUUAUCAUAUAAGUUCGAUUCAUAUCUAGUCAUUAGUCAAAUAUGAUUGGAGACCAGUUAGAUGGUUGUAUAUACAUUUUUAGCCUCUGUUUGGUAGAAAUCAUUUGCUGUCUCUUGAAACCGACCCACAAAUAAGGCCAUACCAAAUUUAUCAACACCACCGCUUACACUCCAUAGAUUAGCCACUAUGUUAGGAGAAUUCGUUCAUAAAUACAAAAUAGGAGCACCUUCCGAGGUGUAAAGCUCAUUCAGUUUUAGUUCACCACUUUCACAUCCCAACAAUAUUGUAGCCGCACAACCAUUAAGUUCUUGAAUUUUUUUUCCUCAAGGUCAAUGCUCAACUCCGAAAUGGCAAGAUAAAAAUGAAAUCGGUUUUAACGAUUAUAUGGAAAUACAAAGUAAAAAAAAGAAAAAAGAAAAAAAAGAAGAAUAUAUACCUGGCUAUGCUUUACUUAAACUAUUUAUUUGUGAAACUUGAUUUCCAAAGUAACUUUUUUGUUAUUGACAAAUCUUGCUUUUGCUUUUCUCUAACUCACAUUCACAAGUGUUAACUUUUUAAGCAUAAUCAAAUUUGUUCCAGCUGUUUACCAUCUACAUGGCCUGAGUAAAAGAGGUCGUGGUUUUUCAAGGUUACAAUUAGCUCAUUGUUUUGGAAAAAUAUUUAUACGCACUAUGCACAGAAAAGUCGAAUAAGAAACUUCAAUCUAAUUUGGCAAAUCUUUGUUUUUCUCAUCAAGCAUGAGAAAUAAAGAACAAGAUUACCUUGCAAUUCUUUUUUUGCAAACAUUUCUCAAGUUUAACCUGUCCACUUCCAAUGCAAUCAUUGUUCGGAUUUAUUACAUAAUAUAGGUUGUGAGGAUUUAUCGAUGAAAACGGUACAAAAUUUGUCGAAAACUGCGCUUGUUCUUGGCAACGCAUGUGAAUUGUUGCAAGAAUGCUUCCAACAAAUGGCAUAUGAUAAAUCUCUUCGUUUUCUAAUAUCGACAGAUUCUCCCUUGGAAAUAACUGCGAAAAAUUAUCAAUAUUGUCUAAAUAACCUUUAGCCCCUGUUUGAGCCCCAUUAUUUUUCAUUACAUUAAAUUAAAUUUUUCUCUUUCCUAUUUUUAACCACACAAAUUUCAAUAAAAUAAUAUUACAGGUAAAUCAAAAAAUUUUCAACCACUCAUUUUUCAAAAAAAAUACUAUUUAUCUCAUUAUAAUGCCAAAUAAUGGGGCUCAAACACACCCUUAAUAAAAGUGUAAGACUAUUUAUGAUCAAUAUGAUACGAAUCAAUCAAAUAAAUUAUCAAUUAUAUCUAUAUAAAUUACUGUAAUGAAAUGAAAAGCAUAACCUAUUCAAUUCAUUUAUUCGAUUUUCAAAUAUAAAAAUUCUAAUUAAUUGGUUAAAUAGAAACUUUAAAAAUUUAUAAAAAUAUAGCAGAAAAUAACAAAGGAAAACACAUGAAAGUAAUAAAUUAAGCGUGUGUACCUGAACUUCGAAAUCUAGGACUAGAAUGAUGGGAUUUCUUUUCAUGCCAUUUAUCUCAUUGUUAUCAUGUGUUUUUUGUUUUGAACACGGAACUUAAUAAGGAUGUAGAUAUUCUUGGCUUUAUGCCAACAUAACAUCGUUUCGUCGAGAUAUUCAGUAAAUAUUUUUCGUUUACGGAUAGAUAUUCUUUCCUAAAUAUAAGGUGUUAAGAAUUUGGUCAUUGCCCCAACAUGACAUGUUUCCAAGCACCAAACCAAAAAGUUUCCGUAUCUCUGAUACAUGAAGACACAUUGACAUAAAACUAAUUGAAUAAAAAUUAUAAACAAUCUAUCAUUUUAAUGCUUGUAAAUUUGCUGCUAUAAAUCAAGGUUCCUAACAUGAUUGAGCAAAUUCAUAGUGAAACUCCAAGGUUCAGGUACACUACAUUGGGGUUUCAAUAUUAAUUUGCUCGAUUAUGUUGGGAACCUUGGUUUAUAGCAGCGAAUUUACUAGCAUUAAAAUGAUGAUUUUUUUAUUCAAUUAAUUUUAUGCCAACGUGUCUUCAUGUAUCAGAGAUACAGAAGUUUUUUGAUUUGGUGCUUAGAAACAUGCCAUGUGGAGGUAGUGGUCAAAUUUUGAACACCUUGUAUUCAGGAAAGAGUACCCAUCCGUAGACGAAAGAUAUUUACUGUAUAUGCUGAUGAAACGAUGUUAUAUUGGCAUAAAGUCGGGAGUAUCUACAUCCUAUUGAGUUUAGUGUUCAAAACACAAAAUAUGUGAUAACGAUGAGAUUGAUUGCAUGAAGAGUAGUCCCAUUAUUCUAGUCCUAGAUUUUGAGGUUCAGGUACAUGCUCUUAAUUUAUUACUUUCAUGUAUUUUCUUUUGUUAUUUUCUGCUAUGUUUUUAUAAGCUUUUAGAGUUUCUAUAAUUAAUUGGAAUUUUUAUAUUUGAAAAUUAGAGAAAUGAAUCUAACAAGUGAUGCUUUUCCUUUUAUUAUAGUAAUUUAUAUAAAUAUAAUUGAUAAUUUCUUUGAUUAAUUCGUAUCGUGUUGAUUAUAAAUAUUCUUAUGCUUUUAUUAAAGAUUAUUUAAGUAAGAUUGAUAAUUUUUUGCAACUAUUUUCAUGGGAGAAUCUGUUGACGUUGAAAAACACAAAGAUUUAUUGUAUGCUAUCUAUUAGAAGCAUUCUUACAACAAUUCACACGCAUUGCCAAGGCCAAGCGUAGUGUUCGACAAAUUUUGUACCCUUUCCAUCGAUAAAUCCUCACAACCUAUAUUAUGUAAUAAAUCCGAAUAAUGAUUUCAUUGGAAGUGGACAUGUUAAAUUUGAGAGAUGGUUGCAAGGUAAUCUUAAUUCUUAAUUUCUCAUACUUGAUGAGAAAAACAAAGAUAUGCGAAAUUGGAUUGAGGUUUCUUUGACUUUUUUGUGUAGAGAGCUAUAAUAUUUCCCUCUCCAAAUAGAGUUGAUUGUAGUCUUGAAAAGCCACAACCUCUAUUUUUACUCGGGCCAUGGAGAUGGUAAGCAACUAGCUUAUGUGUUUAAUUUUGCUUAAAAGUUAAUACUUGUAAAUGUGACUUAGAGAAAAUCAAGAUUUGUUAGUAUAAAACGUUUGAAAAUCAAGUUUUACAAAUAAGUAACUUAAGUAAAGCAUAGCCAAACAUGUAUUCUAUUUAUUUUUUAUUUUAUUAUUUUGUAAUUUUAGAGAAUCGUUAAACUCGAUUUCAUUUUUUACCUUGCCAUUUCAGGGUUGAACAUUGAUCUUGAGUAAAAGAUUCAAGAACUCAAUGGUUGUGUUGCUGCAGUAGUACUAUUGGGGAUGGAAAAGUGGUAAAAUAAAACUAAAUAGGCUUUACGCCAUGGAAGAUGUUCCUUUUCUGUAUUUAUCGGCGAGUUCUCCUAACAUGGUGGCUAAUCUAUGGAGUGUAAGCAAUGAUGUUGAUAAAUUUGGUAUGCCUUAUGUGCGAGUUGGUUUUAAGGGAUAGCAAAUGAUUCUACCAAAUAGGGGUUAAAGAUGUAUAUACAACUAUCUAAUUGGUCUCCAAUCAUAUUUGACUAAUGACUAGAUAUGGAUCAAACUUGUAUGAUCAAUAUUUACAUUACAAUUCGAAAACAUGCUCAUAUAUUUAUCCUUUUUUCUUAGAAAACAUUCCAGUGUUGUCAUUUAAUAAACAAGCUCAAUUCAUUAACAACAAAAAUAUUGAUCCAAAUAAUGAAAACUUGUUUAGUCACUAGAGAGUGAUAGUUAACUGUUUGACAUAAGUCUACGGACUAAUGGGCAAGUUAAGAUCUCCAUCAGGGAGUUAAAGAAAAUCCUAGAAGCUAUAGUUAAUAUGUCACGCACAGAUUGGCCAAGGAAAUUAGAUGAUGUGCUUUGAGCCUACCGAACCGCAUUAAAAACUCCUAUUGGGAUGUCUCCUUAUUGAUUGGAGUUCGGAAAAGUAUGUCACUUACCAAUUGAACUUGAGUAUAAUGCAUAUUGGAUAGCUCACAUGAUAAACCUUGAUAUAAAGGUGGUUGGGAAAAAGAUGAUCCUUCAAUUAAACGAGUUUGAUGAAUUUAGGUUUGGAGCUUUCUGAGAAUGCAAAGUUUUAUGAGGAAAAAUCUAAAAGAUGGCACAAUAAGCACAUUAAAGAAAAAGGGUUCAAGGUUGGUCAACGAGUUUUGAUGUUCAAUUCUCACCUCAAACUCUUUCUAGGCAAGCUAAGAUCAAGAUAGUCGGGUCCAUUCACAAAUAGAGUUGUACAUCCAUGUGGCACAUUUGAGGUUAUAUCUCAAGAUCACCAACGAAGGUUCAAUAUCAAUGGGCAAAGGUUGAAAGGUUAUUGGGGAGGUGAUUACUCCAAUGAGAAGACAAUUCUGCCACUUGAGGAUCCAAAAUAAACUUAAACGAAAAAGUGAGCUAAAAACUACUAAAAAAAAAGGCUUGUUGGGAGGCUUCUUCCCUUUUAUUUAUUCAAUUUUUAUACAUUAGUUUAGGAUUUUUCAUGUUUUGUGUUUUUGUUAUUGAAUUAGGUAUCUUCAUCCAUAACUUAGGUUUUCGAGGUCAUUCUUGCAUUCAUAUACGCUUCAUAUGUGUUUUGCAUGAAUUUGGAGCCAUUCAAAACAUGUACAAGUGAUUUGAGUGAAAAAAGUGUUUUUAGGGUCAAAUACGAGAAUUUGGAGAAAAUUACACCAAAAGGUAACUUUUAAAAGAAUGGUUGAGUUUGAAAUAAUUUUCAUGUUUUCCAUCACUUUUUAGGCCUUUAGGACAUAAUUUAGUCGAAAAUCAACGUUUGGGGACGGUCAAGGGGUCUGAAGAGUCAAAUUCCAGUAAAGGAGCAAUGUCCUCUUUGCUGAUAGCCGACGCGUGACCUUACGCAUGCAAGGCCACCAUAAAAUUAACAAGGGCUUAUAUGACUAAGUUGCGGCCGACCUUUGAACCCACCUCGAUACACAUUACAUGCACAUUGAAAAACAUUACCAAUACCACCUCUCGAUUUUUCUUCAAAUUCUUGACAAUCUCUUGUCAAUUUUUUCCAAAUUUUAUGUGGGCAUUGAAGAUUGUACAAACUACAACAUCAUUUAGCAACUAUUUCACACUAACAUCCCCAAAUUUCAAGAAAUCAAAAGUAGGCGUUAUACGUUGAAGAAUUUCAUGGUUUUGUUAGUUCUCUAUAUAUCUUGCUAUUUGUUGGAAUUUUUGUGGUUCUUGAUAGAGAACGGGAUUAGGUCAACGUUGGGUUUGCCAUAUGUGUUGUAAAUUCGUGGAUUAGACUCGUUAAUGUUCAAAGUUUGCAUUAGACUCAUUGGUUUGCACAUUACGUGUUUGACAAAAGGUCUAAAUGCAGUUUUUGUUCAUGCUUGUGGCCUUAUUUACAUUCCCUACCUGCGAACCCUCGUCUUUCCUAUCAAUCGACGUUCAUAUUAUUUUAUUAUGUUUGGCAUAUCCUAUACAAGUAACUAAUGUUCAUUUUUUUACACUGUUUGAUAAGGAUGCCUCCAAAGAGAAAUAAUAUUUCUUCCACAUCAUAGAGCAAAAAAAAGGUCACGAGAUCUUCCAGCAUAGUUUGCACUCGACUUGAUGAUGAGGUAUGCAGCGGUUUCCAACCCUUGAGCACAAAGCUAGAUUUGAUAAUGUGGUCUCAAGAUGGAAACUUGGGCAGAAUGACAGGUAGUGGUGGAAGAAUUUCUAGGGUUUGAGAUGACCCAGUUGAUUCGUUUAGCAAGAUGGGAACAAGUAGCAGGUAGCCUUACAAAGUUUAUCUUAUCUUGGUGUAAGAGUUCUACGCCAACUUUAAUGCAGAGUUAGACAUUCUGGGAACCGAACAUAUGCACCAGGCAUGGAUUCGAGACAAAUGGAUAAUGUUCUUACGAGAAGUGAUCGAUACUUACUACGGACUAACUAGGGACAAUAUCGUUCUAGUACCAAUGGAUCUAGACAUGUUAGUCGUUGCACAGAUGCUAUAUGGGAGAGACGACACAUGGCCACUUCUAGAAAACAAAUUUGAAUACCGUCAUCUGACAUACUCCCUUGUGAUCCUAUAUAACUUCAUCGGUCACAGCAUUGAUCUAAACUCACACUGCACCACCAUUAGUCAUCUGAAGGCCAAUCUACUGUAUCAUCUCGCAUGAGGUUUUAAGAUUGAUUUGGGAUCUAUGAUUUACAAUCUCAUAUGUUUUGUGGCGACAGAUCCGAACCUAAAGGGCUUAUGAUUAAUGUUAAUGAACUACAAUGUCGCCUUUUCUUCUAUCCAAGACCCUAGGUUUGGUAGAAUCUUUGCCGAAUCACUUGAUUACAAUUGGCAUGUUUGUUUAUCCUUUCUUCCUUUAUGGCCCUAUGUGUGUGUGUGUGUGCCUUUCCUCAUUUUGUAGCCUUCAUAUAAUUCAUUCAUUCCUUUCAUGUAGGCAUUUGAUACUCUUUUCACAUCAUCUGACAUGCGUGGCAUGAAUGGUAUUGUAAUGGGAUGUAAUCCAAAAAAUACUAAAUAGAACUACCACAAUGUAGGAUCGUGGCCAGGUAACCUUUUUAACCCUUUAGAUACUUUUGAUAGAAAUUUGAUGAGAUUAACUAAUAGUGAUGGUGUGCUAUUUAGUGAACUAGCCUGCAAAAUUUAACAUGCGAAAACUACUGGGCUAAGUAAGUGGCAACUUGACAAUUGAAAUUGUUUACUUUUAGUUUUUUUUAUUUGUGUUUUUUGAAAAAGUCAUUGAUAUUAAACCAUACAAACUUCAUAAUUCAUUGCUGAAGGUUUUUUUGUUAGUUCUCUUACAUUUAAGUAAUAAGAACCAUCUCUAUAGAGGAUUCUCAAUAAAAUUUGAAGACCGAUACAUUUUUGAUAUUGAUUUUACUAAGAAAUUUAAAUUUAUUACAUAUUUUGAAGUUUUCCAAAUGGUAUUUAGAACAAUUACAAUCUCUCUCUUCUAUUGGUUAAGCUUUUCCUCAUAUUUAGUUUAAUUAUGUUAGGUGUAGUGCUUCUAUGACUAUUCACAACAUUGUGUUCAAAGACAGGGUGCUCUCAAAUUGCUAGAUGAACCAUUGAACUUGCUGAAUAUUGGCUAUGAAAAAAUGGCUGACCAGAAUUAAAGUCGAUCCCCCGUUAGUUUUGUGUUCUUUUUUCUUUUCUUUUCUUUUUUUUUGUGAGAACUUCUUCGAGAAUCUCAAACUAAGUAAAGCUUUAGUGACUUUUUCUGACAAUUAUAUACAAAUUCUUGCAUAAUAGAGAAAUUAGCCCAGAAAUUCAAGAACAGCUUAUUAAACUUAGAUGAAAACUAUGAAAUGGGAUAUCAACCUUCACAUUCUUCAUUGGAUCAUAUUGAUCAAUUACCAAAAGAAACUCUUAGUUACUCAAUCUUGAGUAGAGAUUAUUUUACUUAUUGUGGAACAAAUUUGGAGACAUUAGCCCCAAUGGGCAACUAGCAAAUGAGAACUUGUAUUACUGUAAAACAGAUGGAAUUUCAUCUCCUAAUGGCGGUCUUGGACUGGGAUUGAGCUUACGAUCAACAUUGUAGAAGCAAAGAUUGUUGCAAAAAAUGUUGCUGCCUUUGGCCUUAAUUGGAG
rnacentral:lncRNA from 1 species